CGCCUCUUGAAAACUCAUAAGAGGUCCAGCCUGCCCAGUGACAAAGUUCAACGGCCGCGGUACCCUAACCGUGCGAAGGUAGCAUAAUCACUUGUUCUUUAAAUAGGGACUCGUAUCAACGGCAUCACGAGGGUUGCACUGUCUCCUUUCUCCAAUCAGUGAAACUGAUCUCCCCGUGAAGAAGCGGGGAUUCUUCUAUAAGACGAGAAGACCCUAUGGAGCUUUAAACCCAACAACAACCCUGUCACAUAAUCCUUCAUAACCUACAGGAAUCAUGUUUGUUGGUUUUAGGUUGGGGUGACCGCGGAGUAAAACUUAUCCUCCACGACGAAAAGAACUAAAUCUUUAUCUAAGAGACACCACUCUAAGAAUUAGUAUACUAACGGACAAUGACCCAAUAUUUGAUCAACGGACCAAGUUACCCUAGGGAUAACAGCGCAAUCUACUUUGAGAGCUCCUAUCGACAAGUAGGCUUACGACCUCGAUGUUGGAUCAGGGUAUCCCAGUGGUGCAGCCGCUACUGAAGGUUCGUUUGUUCAACGAUUAAAACCCU
rnacentral:rRNA from 1 species